rnacentral:rRNA from 1 species
AUUGAACGCUGGCGGCAUGCCUUACACAUGCAAGUCGAACGGCAGCACGGGUGCUUGCACCUGGUGGCGAGUGGCGAACGGGUGAGUAAUACAUCGGAACAUGUCCUGUAGUGGGGGAUAGCCCGGCGAAAGCCGGAUUAAUACCGCAUAUGAUCUACGGCUGAAAGCGGGGGCCCUUCGGGCCUCGCGCUAUAGGGUUGGCCGAUGGCUGAUUAGCUAGUUGGUGGGGUAAAGGCCUACCAAGGCGACGAUCAGUAGCUGGUCUGAGAGGACGACCAGCCACACUGGGACUGAGACACGGCCCAGACUCCUACGGGAGGCAGCAGUGGGGAAUUUUGGACAAUGGGCGAAAGCCUGAUCCAGCAAUGCCGCGUGUGUGAAGAAGGCCUUCGGGUUGUAAAGCACUUUUGUCCGGAAAGAAAUCCUUGGCCCUAAUACGGUCGGGGGAUGACGGUACCGGAAGAAUAAGCACCGGCUAACUACGUG